CCGGCGCUCCGCUACUGAAUGAAGCGGCCGACCCCUCGUGCACGAGGGAGCCAGUAAGCCACACACAGACAGUCAGACACAGGCACACAGCGAGGGAGUCCUCUCCUCCCCCAGAAAAGGAAAAGACGCAUUCCGCACACGCGCGGCUGGGUGUCGAGGCCGGGAGACGCGGUGAAGCUAGCUGCUAGCGUAGCCGCGCGCGGCGGGCGGGCUCGAGCUGCGCUGUCGCUCCAUGUCGGCCACCGCCGAGAGCGGUGGGGAUCUGUCGGCGGCGCGCCGCCGGUGGGAUCUCACCAACAAGGGGGCCGAGAGCACCCCAAUUUUGAAAGAUGCUGUGGAAAUAUCUACAGAUGAAGAAUCAGAUGGUGUUGUUACAUGCCAUCCGAAUGGUAACACUGAUGGAUGCGAAGAAACUAUUAGUGGCAGUCACGAUGAUGAUAGCCCAGAAGGCCAGGAAACUAGUUCCAUUAAGGAACCUGAUGUAGAAGGUGACACACAGGAAGACAAACGUGUAAAUCAAGAUUCACUCAAGUUGAUUGAUGAAGAGUCUGCUCCUCCCAAGUCCCCAGCAAAAUCCGCGACUGCAAGUUCUAGAUCGGAGAGGCCUAAACGUGUUGUUCCCCGACCAUUUUCUCUUUCUAAUCAAAGAAGUUUGUUUGGAGUAAAUGGUGGUGUGGCCAAUCCAUUGGCCAAUAAGGAUAAAUCUGGUGAUAAAAGUAGCAUCUCUCCAGCAAGCAUGACAAAGAAGAGUACGCAGAUGGCACUUAGGAAGACUUUGCAGCCUGAGAAGGUAUUUCAUCCUCUGGAAGAGGACUCUUGUUCUGUGACAUCCUCAACUACAACAUCAACAAGAGCUGGCAGAACUAAGAUGACUGUUCCCGUCGCUCCUUCAUUUGUGUGUGCUAACCGUGCUGACAAGAGGAAGGAGUUCUACACAAAAUUAGAGGAGAAACAUAAAGCUUUGGAAGCAGAGAAGGACGAGGCUGAGGCCAGGAAAAAGGUAGGAAGAACUUACUUCUGAAUUCUGAUAUCUCUCUUGGAAGCAACCAACUGUAGGAUGAGCAAGACGUUGCUUUAAAACAACUAAGGAAGUCAUUGGUGAUUAGAGCGAAACCCAUGCCAAGCUUCUAUCAAGAAGGGCCCCCACCAAAGGCUGAACUGAAGAAGGUGCCUCCUACCCGUGCCAAAUCGCCAAAGUUUACAAGUUCAAGGAGAAGGAGCUGCAGUGAUACACCAUUGACACCUGGCGGGGAAAAUACCAACGCAACAUCUACCCGGCCACAUCGUCACAGCAUCGGGAGUCCUAGAGACGCUAACAGAGUACAACAAUGCUCGCCAAAGAGCGGUGUGGCAACCAAAACAAGAUCUGUCAAGGCUGAGCUGAAGGCCCUCUGAAGAGCAUGGAGCAGCCGAGUGAUGUGUUUCUCUGUACAAACCGAAUUGUCUAACCGUUUCCAUUUCCAUGCAUUUUUGCUUCUAUUUUAUACCCAACAUCUCCAGCAAAAGAAGGCUGUAGGGCCAAUGACGUUGUUCAGCGCCGCUGGACCUUAUCCAUUUUCUUACAUUCGCCUUGUACUCGUAAGAACUCUUGGUGGCACCAUGUGACAUUCCAUGUAAAUUACUUGAGGAUCCUUGUAGGGAGUUCGUCCGGUGUUUUGCUCCUGUUAAGCCCUUGGCCUUAACUAAUCUGUGAGCUGAAAAGACUAUCGGAAUGGCACUGUUCCGUUUGAUGCA